rnacentral:rRNA from 1 species
UACGUAGGUGGCAAGCGUUAUCCGGAAUUAUUGGGCGUAAAGCGCGCGCAGGCGGUCCUUUAAGUCUGAUGUGAAAGCCCACGGCUUAACCGUGGAGGGUCAUUGGAAACUGGAGGACUUGAGUACAGAAGAGGAGAGUGGAAUUCCACGUGUAGCGGUGAAAUGCGUAGAGAUGUGGAGGAACACCAGUGGCGAAGGCGGCUUCCUGGUCUGUAACUGACACUGAGGCGCGAAAGCGUGGGGAGCAAACAGGAUUAGAUACCCGUGUAGU